AAAGUACUCCCUCCGUCCCAAAAUUCUUGUCUUAGAUUUGUCUAGAUAUGGAUGUAUCAAGUCACAUUUUAGUAUUAGAUACAUACGUAUCUAGACAAAUCUAAGACAAGAAAUUUGGAACAGAGGGAGUAGUUG
rnacentral:pre_miRNA from 1 species